AUGAAUUUGAAACAACAUUCAAAACACUACUAAAUAGGAAGACAAAAGCAUACUGUUGGUGCAAAAAUCCACCUGCGUCGGAGAAGCUAGAGUCGGAGAAGUCGCGGUCGCCGUCGGAACCUGCAAAAGAAGUCUAAACCGAAGGUGGGGUUGCUCCGACAAGACCCUCCGAUGCUCAAGUCAGUUCUCUGCCUCAACAAGAAUGGAGUGCUCGAACAAAAAUUUUAGCAAAGUUUUGGGAUAAAGAUUAGGGCUUAGAGAAUAACGUAUCUGGGGUCCCCCUUUUAUAGAUGGGGGGUGCGAUAGACUGAUAGCGACUGUUUGUAACUACCUAGUCGUGGGCCGCAUGGGG
rnacentral:lncRNA from 1 species